AGGACGAACGCUGGCGGCGUGCCUAACACAUGCAAGUCGAGCGAUGAAAUCCUUCGGGAUGGAUUAGCGGCGGACGGGUGAGUAACACGUGGGUAACCUGCCUUGUAGAGGGGGAUAGCCUUCCGAAAGGAGGAUUAAUACCGCAUAACAUCUUUUUAUCGCAUGGUAGAAGGAUCAAAGGAGCAAUCCGCUACAAGAUGGACCCGCGGCGCAUUAGCUAGUUGGUGAGGUAACGGCUCACCAAGGCGACGAUGCGUAGCCGACCUGAGAGGGUGAUCGGCCACAUUGGAACUGAGACACGGUCCAGACUCCUACGGGAGGCAGCAGUGGGGAAUAUUGCGCAAUGGGGGAAACCCUGACGCAGCAACGCCGCGUGAAUGAAGAAGGCCUUAGGGUUGUAAAGUUCUGUUUACGGGGACGAUAAUGACGGUACCCGUGGAGGAAGCCACGGCUAACUACGUGCCAGCAGCUGC
rnacentral:rRNA from 1 species